CCUACGGGAGGCUGCAGUCGAGAAUCUUCGGCAAUGGGCGCAAGCCUGACCGAGCGACGCCGCGUGCGGGAUGAAGGCCCUUGGGUUGUAAACCGCUGUCGGGGGGGAUGAAACCGCAAGGUUGACAGAGCCCCGGAGGAAGCACGGGCUAAGUUCGUGCCAGCAGCCGCGGUAAUACGAACUGUGCGAACGUUAUUCGGAAUCACUGGGCUUACAGGGUGCGUAGGCGGCGAUGCAAGUCAGGUGUGAAAGCCCACGGCUCAACCGUGGAACAGCGCUUGAAACUGCAUUGCUGGAGUGAGCUAGAGGUAUGCGGAACUUCCGGUGGAGCGGUGAAAUGUGUUGAUAUCGGAAGGAACACCAGAGGCGAAAGCGGCAUACUGGAGCUUGUCUGACGCUGAGGCACGAAAGCCAGGGGAGCAAACGGGAUUAGAUACCCU
rnacentral:rRNA from 1 species